rnacentral:rRNA from 1 species
UAACCUGCCCAAGAGAUCGGGAUAACACCUGGAAACAGAUGCUAAUACCGGAUAACAACAGAUGAUGCCUAUCAACUGUUUAAAAGAUGGUUAUGCUAUCACUCUUGGAUGGACCUGCGGUGCAUUAGCUAGUUGGUAGGGUAACGGCCUACCAAGGCGAUGAUGCAUAGCCGAGUUGAGAGACUGAUCGGCCACAUUGGGACUGAGGACACGGCCCAAACUCCUACGGGAGGCAGCAGCG